AAACAGAAGAAAGCAACCUUUCCAUUCUUAAAGCAUUCUAAAUGUCUUCCAGCCUCCAGAUGAACAAAUGUCUCAGCCUCCAAACAAGUCAUGAGCCGAUUGAUGCCAGAAUCUGGAUCAGAGAAUAAGAACGAAAAAGAAGUGGCUGAGGUUUCAGUAUCUCAAAGAAAUGUGGGAGAAUGUUGCUGGAAAAAGAAAACAGCUUUACUAAAGAAGUUGGUUGCUGAAAAAGGAAAGAGCCACUGAACA